GUUUUCAGAGAUGAGAAUGUGCCUUCGGGAACCGUGAGACAGGUGCUGCAUGGCUGUCGUCAGCUCGUGUUGUGAAAUGUUGGGUUAAGUCCCGCAACGAGCGCAACCCUUAUCCUUUGUUGCCAGCGGUCCGGCCGGGAACUCAAAGGAGACUGCCAGUGAUAAACUGGAGGAAGGUGGGGACGACGUCAAGUCAUCAUGGCCCUUACGACCAGGGCUACACACGUGCUACAAUGGCGCAUACAAAGAGAAGCGACCUCGCGAGAGCAAGCGGACCUCAUAAAGUGCGUCGUAGUCCGGAUUGGAGUCUGCAACUCGACUCCAUGAAGUCGGAAUCGCUAGUAAUCGUGGAUCAGAAUGCCACGGUGAAUACGUUCCCGGGCCUUGUACACACCGCCCGUCACACCAUGGGAGUGGGUUGCAAAAGAAGUAGGUAGCUUAACCUUCGGGAGGGCGCUUACCACUUUGUGAUUCAUGACUGGGGUGAAGUCGUAACAAGGUAACCGUAGGGGAACCUGCGGUUGGAUCACCUCCUU
rnacentral:rRNA from 1 species